CCUACGGGCGGCUGCAGUGAGGAAUAUUGGUCAAUGGACGAGAGUCUGAACCAGCCAAGUCGCGUGAGGGAUGACUGCCCUGUGGGUUGUAAACUUCUUUUAUAAGGGAAUAAAACGAGGCACGUGUGCCUUUUUGCAUGUACUUUAUGAAUAAGCAUCGGCUAACUCCGUGCCAGCAGCCGCGGUAAUACGGAGGAUCCGAGCGUUAUCCGGAUUUAUUGGGUUUAAAGGGAGCGUAGAUGGGGUGUUAAGUCAGUUGUGAAAGUGUGGGGCUCAACCGUAAAAUUGCAAUUGAUACUGGCAGCCUUGAGUACAGUUGAGGUAGGCGGAAUUCGUGGUGUAGCGGUGAAAUGCUUAGAUAUCACGAAGAACUCCGAUUGCGAAGGCAGCUUACUAAACUGCCACUGACAUUGAUGCUCGAAAGUGUGGGUAUCAAACAGGAGUAGAUACCCUUGUAGUC
rnacentral:rRNA from 1 species